CCUACGGGUGGCUGCAGUGAGGAAUAUUGGUCAAUGGGCGGAAGCCUGAACCAGCCAAGUAGCGUGAAGGAUGAAUGCCCUACGGGUUGUAAACCUCUUUUGUACAGGGAUAACAUGAUCCACGUGUGCCGUUUUGUAGGUACUUUAUGAAUAAGGAUCGGCUAACUCCGUGCCAGCAGCCGCGGUAAUACGGAGGAGCCGAGCGUUAUCCGGAUUUAUUGGGUUUAAAGGGAGCGUAGAUGGGUCGUUAAGUCAGUUGUGAAAUUUUGCGGCUCAACCGUAAAAUUGCAAUUGAUACUGGCCGCCUUGAGUACAGUUGAGGCAGGCGGAAUUCGUGGUGUAGCGGUGAAAUGCUUAGAUAUCACGAAGAACCCCGAUUGCGAAGGCAGCCUACUAAACUGCCACUGACACUGAUGCUCGAAAGUGUGGGUAUCAAACAGGAUUAGAUACCCUUGUAGUC
rnacentral:rRNA from 1 species